ACGCUGUAUUCCAAAUAAAUUAAUCAGCCAAAGAGUAUUCUCAAAAGUAGUGCGGUGUUAACUCCGCCCACGAAGGGAGAUAACUUAGUCUGUUGUAAAAAAUGGCGGUGUUAAAAUUUCCCUAUUUUAUUGACGCCGACAAUUACAUCAGAGAGGAAGAAAUCAAAACGUGCGAACGUUUUGUUUUUUUGGCAAGACGUGGGUCACCGAAGUCUACAGAUAAUGGAUGCAUUUUUACAUCUGCUGUGUUUGCCUUUGGAUGGCAGUGUUCUCCAUGUAGCAAGUACAGUAUGGACUGCCAUAUUUUUGGGACAAGACCCUGAUAAACACAGGUAUUUAAGCGAGGUGCAGAUACUGGAGUAUGAUCAUCUGGUUGGUGCAGUCAAUGAGGGUGGAUUCCACUGGUCUCUUAUAGUUGUGCAACCGAAAGACAACAAAGUUUUGUACAUAAAUCCGAUGGGGGAGCAGAAUGUUUCCCAGCAACAGAUCCUGCAACAAUGGAUGUAAAUGUGUACAUUAUUUAAUUAAACAGUAAAUUUGUGCACAUUCGGCGCUUAUCCAGCAUUGAUAUGGGCGGACCAAUACAUUGGAACAUACUCUGCCCACGUCAUGCAAAACAGUCAGAUUCAAUAUCUUGCGGUGUCUACGUUUUAAAGUAAGCAGAAUGCUACCUGCAGAAUCAAUCCCUAGAGUUUGUGCUCAGCAAAACACAACUACUAGAAGAACGGAGACAAAUAGCCAGAAGACUGCUUUCUGAAGGGGAAUUCAUUGAAGGUCAUCUAGAAGAGAUAGCAAGUAGCCCAUCAGUCGAACAUGAGAACUCGGACCAGCUGGCAAACAACCCUGCCUCUGCCAUGGAGUUGGAAGGGGGGAGACACUGACCCAGUGGUCGAUCAUGUAGCAACAGCCAGGGUGAGUCAAAGCGGACACAGUUGAUGAGGAAAUAUGCAUCCAGCAUUGGAAGCACAAUUUUUCUUUAAAAAA